GUGGGGCUGUGGGUGCAGACUCAGAUUUCCUACGCUCAGGAUACCGCCUAGUGUUUCAGUUAACUUUCUGUUGCCUGCAAGAUGCAGGAUUCUCAGCUCUUCCAGCACUAAGAAGUCUGCCCACAUGCCGCCAUGCUCCCACCCUCUGGAACUGUAAGAGAGCCUCCCCAAUUCAAUGUUUUCUUUGUAAGAGUUGCUGUGGUCAUGAUGUCCCGUCACAGCAAUAACAAAUCCUCACUCAGCAUGAAGAAGAAAGCGGAGACCAGAAGAACGGAUUAGAAUUCAUGAGCCAUUUGUUCAGCUUCGAAUUGAUGGAGCCCCGGCUGACUGGAGAGGCCGGAGUGAAAACUGGCUGAGGUCCCUGCAGAUACGGACCGGCUCACUCAUUCUUCCUCUGACAAGGAAAGAACACGGCUCAGACGGAUGUGCUGGAGGAAACGCACCAGGAAAUCCCAAGCAGGGCGCAAUCAGUCACCAUUAAUGCCCAGAAGGAUCAAAGCUACUUGAAGAAAUACAGCCACUUACGGAUGGACGGGAAAAUUGAAUUCAUGAAGCCGUGCCUUCUCCGUGGGCGAUUUCCCGGAGCUGAAGCACUGGAAUUGCACGCUGACCGUGAGUGCCAGGCUUUCCCCACUGCAGUUAGCACACUUUAAAGAACAGGGAUUAUGGGAUUGUGUUACCAUGCCCAGUUUAUAUGGCACUGGGAACUGAAUCCAGGGCAUGGCAAAUGUGGAGCAUGUCCUCCACCAGCUGAGCUGUAUCACCAGCCCUCGAAAAGCUGAGGUUUUGAAGGAAUAGCCCACUCUGGGGGCAGGUUUAAUGAGCACAGCUGCCUGGAAGCAUUGCAUGAUGGGACUUCUGGAGGAUGUGUCUGGAACCCCAGUCAAGAUGCUGAGCUGGCAAGUUGCAUGGCAAAGGACCAACCAGCUCCCCCCAAGCCCAUGCCUCAACCCAGUAAAGUCUUCUUAACUCCUUGGGGAU